UUGGGGAUUUUGCACAAUGGACGCAAGUCUGAUGCAGCAACACUGCGUGAAGGAUGAAGGUUUUCGGAUUGUAAACUUCUUUUAUCAGGGAAUAAUCUUGAAGGUACCUGAUGAAUAAGCACCGGCUAACUACGUGCCAGCAGCCGCGGUAAUACGUAGGGUGCAAACGUUAUCCGGAUUUAUUGGGCGUAAAGAGCUCGUAGGCGGAAUUGUAAGUUGGAUAUUAAAGACCCAGGCUCAACUUGGGGAAAGUAUCCAAAACUGCAAAUCUAGAGUGAUGCAGGGGAGAACGGAACUUACGGUGUAGCGGUGGAAUGCGUAGAUAUCGUAAGGAACGCCAAUGGUGAAGACAGUUCUCUGGGCAUUUUCUGACGCUGAGGAGCGAAAGCGUGGGUAGCGAUCGGG
rnacentral:rRNA from 1 species